GACGAACGCUGGCGGCGUGCUUAACACAUGCAAGUCGAACGAAGAGCGACGGAAGCUUGCUUCUAUCAAUCUUAGUGGCGAACGGGGGAGUAACGCGUAAUCAACCUUCCCUUCAGAGGGGGACAACCGUUGGAAACGACUGCUAAUACCGCAUACGAUCUUAUCUCGGCAUCGAGGAUGUAUUAGAGGUUGGCUCGACAUGUAAGCUAUAACUGAAGGAGGGGAGUGCGGGGGAUUAGGAAGUUGGAGGGGUAACGGCCCACCCAGGCGAUGAUCAGUAGCCGGUCUGGAGGGAUGAACGGCCACAUUGGGACCGAGACACGGCCCCGACUCCUACGGGAGGCAGCAGUGGGGAAUCUUCCGCAAUAGACGAAAGUCUGACGGAGCAACGCCGCGUGAGUGAUGACGGCCUUCGGGUUGUAAAGCUCUGUUAAUCGGGACGAAAGGCCUUCUUGCGAAUAGUGAGAAGGAUUGACGGUACCGGAAUAGAAAGCCACGGCUAACUACGUG
rnacentral:rRNA from 1 species